UACGAAGGGGGCUAGCGUUGCUCGGAAUUACUGGGCGUAAAGCGCACGUAGGCGGUCUUUUAAGUCGGGGGUGAAAUCCCAGAGCUCAACUCUGGAACUGCCUUUGAUACUGGGCAUCUCGAGUAUGGAAGAGGUGAGUGGAAUUCCGAGUGUAGAGGUGAAAUUCGUAGAUAUUCGGAGGAACACCAGUGGCGAAGGCGGCUCACUGGUCCAUUACUGACGCUGAGGUGCGAAAGCGUGGGGAGCAAACAGG
rnacentral:rRNA from 1 species